CGCCGGGCGCGGCCGGAGACGGGCCGGCGCGGGGCGGAUCAAGGAGAUGCGGCAGAUCUUUGCAACUGCGGUUUUAUGAUUCAUAUUUUCGGGAACUGAAAGUUUCCUCAUCACCUCAAGGGUAUUGUUGCAGCAACCGCGAGCUGGCUAUGCGCGACUCAGCUCAGUCAGCUGGGAAGCGAUGCCAGAAAUAGUCCAGGCCCCUUGCGUUGGUGGUGGAUGCCUGCAUAAAAGUUGCUCAUGAUGUGUGGAACCGCAGCUCCGUCAAUCACUAGGAUUGGAUACAACAUGGUCAUUUAUGUGGUGGAGAGGGAGUCCUGGAGGUCAUCGUCAACCAGAGAUUGCUAAUGUUCUUUCCUGAGGCAAAUGAGGUUACUAUUGCAAGACAUACAACCUUUGUGCCAUUGUUUAUAUUUGUAAGUGGAUGUAUCCCUUUGUUAGAGCUCAUGCUCCAUUGAUUACCUUUAAUAGGGAGCUAGAAACUCUUAUCCUGUAAUUCCAUGUUUGUAGAUUUGACAAUUGAUUAGACUUCUAUAUUGGGACGUUGCAAGAGGGAUUAUUUUCCUUCCGUAGUAUUGUUCGACUCAUAUCUUUUUAUUUUACAUUUUUCAGCAUUUUUUGCUUAAUCUUUGUCAUUUUUGGAUCUUGGUAAGGUUUGGAGCGUAUCAAACCUUUGCAUUUAUGGUAACCCUUUUAAUUACUAAAAAUAAUGGAGUUUUCCAUUCUGUGAGUUUCUAUUUUUAUUUCCCUGGAUGUCGAGUUAGUUUUGGUGAGGCCGGUUCAGGCCCGAUCCAUUGCCUCCUUCAUGCUCCAGACCAAGCUCUCCAUCAAGCCAAGUGGCGGGUGAAGCUGGAGCCAGAGCGCACGCCAAGUGACGGCGACAGCCGGACGCGGCAGCGGCGGUAGGCAGCGUGCGCCAAGUGACGGGGCGGGUGGAUGCCGCAGCAGCAGCUCCCCCUCCCCCUUCUCUUCAUCUCUCUAAUGGAAAUAUCAGAGCUUAUACCUGGAUAAAGGUAUGAAGAAUCUGAUGGCAAUUGAUCCCCCGUUGGUCACCGCUGGUCGGGAGCGUCGCCGUGCGAAGAGCAGGUGGGGCCGCAUCAGCCGUCGCCUUGGGUCCUGCCGCUCCUCCCCAAUCUCCCGCCUCGACGUGUAGAGGGGUCGAAGCUGUGAGGGAUGCAACAUUGGCGGGCGGGCAUUCACUGGAGGGGUGCGUCCUGGAGGAGGGUGGCGGCGUUCCAGUGAGAGGCCCUGGGUUGGGAGGAGAGGACGUGGGAGGAGGACGAGAAGGGGUGAGGGCGCUCGACCCCGCCGCCCAGCAACGCCGACGGCCAACAUCUACAGUGACGCCGCUAGGGUUGGGCGACACCUCCAUCGGAGAUCCCUAUCGAAGCUUGCACAGGCUCCGCGUAGCCGCCGCCAGCACCUCCUCGUUCCUGUGGGCAGUGCCAUCAAGGACAUCUCCCCCAAGCGUGGUCUCCACCAGCAGCACCCCCUGGCGCUCGCACGGGAACCGGCCGGCACGUCCGUCUUCACCAGGCCAAGAAAGAUUAGGGUUUGGGUGUCCAGGAGAUUCACUGACAGCAGCACCAGCCAUCAUUGGUUUUUAUGGACUCCAUGGCUGUUGUAAGAGGAAUGGAGCAAAAGGGUGAUUUUUUUGGUGGGUCUGAUCGUUGUUGUUCUGCUUGAUUACCACAACAAUAGGGUUGCUCCCUCCUGCAAAGUAUCGACCACAUCUAUGCCUCCCUCCACAUCCUCUCCUCCAUUUAUAUCUACAUAUUUUUUUGUGCCAUAUAAUAAAAGGUGAAGAGCGGCGCUAGGGAACCACGCCUAGGAGCAUGCUCAUGGUGGUACCUACAUCGCAACAAUGCAUGGUUACGGAUGUCCUCAGCCCGAGCUAGGCUUCCUUGUCGAUGACUUGCCAUCUACAGCAUCUCUGCAGGAUUGUUGCUUGGUUGGAUAUAGAAACAAAUGAAGAUGUGGAAAGGAUUCUUGAGGGGAACAGUUCAUCACGGGGCGCUGUUUCCAGGGGCAAAUUGCGGUGUUGGUGUUGCUUCACAGGUUUGGUGAGAUACUUCACGUGUUACUGUUAUCAUUGUUGUGCAUUGCCCAUGUUAAACUUUUGCUCUUUUACGCUGAGGGGUUGCCGUGGGAACCGCAUCGGCUCUGUUUUCUGCUUAUUGUGUGUGCUCUGUUGACCACAUAGUGGCUGCUUCAUUUCUUCUUCUGUUCCUUGACAUGUGCGGUGAUCGGUUUGCUUUGUGUGUUGUCCAAUCUGUUCUAGCUAUCAAGUUUGAUUACCGGUGAUAUGUAAUACCCAAUUGGUCUAUAGCCAAAUCACUUGGGUGGGCACAUGAUAUGUAUGCCACCUAGCAACAGAAUAGCCUGUAUUGACACAUCUUCACUGC